rnacentral:rRNA from 1 species
AGGGUUCGAUUCUGGCUCAGGAUGAACGCUGGCGGCAUGCCUAAUACAUGCAAGUCGAACGAGUAGACCUUCGGGUUGCUAGUGGCGAACGGGUGAGUAACACGUAGAUAACCAACCCUUAUGACGAGGAUAACCCGGGGAAACCUGGACUAAUACUGGAUAGGAGCUAAUUUCACAAGAGGUUAGUUUUAAAGGCGCCUCAAAGCGCCGCAAGAGGAUGGGACUACGUCGCAUUAGCUAGUUGGUAGGGUAGAGGCCUACCAAGGCAACGAUCAGUAGCCGGCCUGAGAGGGUGGACGGCCACACUGGGACUGAGAACGGCCCAGACUCCUACGGGAGGCAGCAGUGGGGAAUAUUGCGCAAUGGGGGAAACCCUGACGCAGCGACGCCCGCGUGAGCGAAGAAGGCCUUCGGGUUGUAAAGCUCUGUUGUAAGGGACGAAUGUCUAGGGUAGUAACUGACCUUAGAAUGACGGUACCUUACCAGCAAGCCCCGGCUAACUACGUGCCAGCCGCCGC